rnacentral:lncRNA from 1 species
AUGUCCAGAUCCUUAAGUCCAGACACCCACCCCCGCCAUCGUCGUCAUCGCUCACCCUUGUCCCUGUCUUCCUCCCCGUUUCUCUCCUCUCCCUCAGAUCCACCAGCGUCCUUAGCUUCUCUAACCCUAGAGCUUUUCCCCCCUGGUCAGACCACGUCUCCGGUGCUCCCUAGGCCGGCGACUGCACCUUGGGAUGUCUCCUCUCCAGGGGAUUCGGUUCAAGAUUUGGUUGAGGUCAGCACAGGCAAGGUUCUCGAUGCAGAUCUGCUCAAUCCCGGGUCCGGCGCUGCUGCUGCGCUCGCUCAGUCCCUUCAAGGUCAUGGUUCGCCGGCAGGUGCUCAGGGAUUUAAGCGCCUUUACUCUAAGGUGCUAUCCGCUCCUCUUCGUCCUCCAGCUGCUAGUACCUCCCUCUUAACUUCGUUGCAGCCACCAUCCUCCCCUAUGAAGCCUACAAGCUCGCCUGCUGCAGCUGUAAAGGAUUUCAAGAUCCUCAAGAGUGGGCGAAGAGUUGAGUUGUCUUCUCAAAAUCUUUCACCUUCCAGGCAAGGUACAGGAGGCAUUCAAGUUAGUUCUGAUUCUUGGAAAGAGGUCAAAGGGAAGCAUUGGUGGAGAAAAUCCUCUGCAUUCAAUCCUCCCAACAACAAAGAGUAUCUGCAAUCAAGGAGGGCGCGCUUCCUGCAGCAUAUGGAAGGUAAAUGCUUCCGGUGUCCGAGCACAGAGCAUCAAGUGUUUGCCUGUAGAGAUCCCCUUCGGUGUUGGCGAUGUUUGAAUUUUGGUCAUCGAGCUUCCAGCUGUAGCAAGAAAGUGGACUAUAAAUCCCCUUCGGUUCCUCCUGGGCUAUCCACUGCAGCUUUCCCCCCUUUGGCUCCACUUCGCUUCCCUCCCCGCUCCCUCCCCACUCCCUCCAAACCUCUCACCAUGGAUGAUCUAACUGCUCGUCCUCUUCUUGAUUCUGUUGUGAUAUCUGCCACUGGUGAAAUUGAGAGGAAUAGAGAGCGAUUCUCAGCCCGUUCUCUUGUGGCUUGGCAAGUGGGGGCGAAUGAAGGAAAGGUUGAGCUCAACACUUUUGCAGAUGAUGUCCACUCAGCUUUUCGCAUCAGGCGCGCUGACAUUCAGUUCACCAAGUUUCACCCAGAAGACUUUUCAUCACUUGUUCAAAUCAGAGUGAUCGUGAUGCAAUUCUUCGUCAGCCCAGGCUCUCCACUGCCUCUGCCGCUUCGCAACCCGCCGCCGUCAGACACAAAGAAGGGGUGGACCUACAAUGUCCUCGUUCACGUGGAUACUCUUGAAGACCUCCUCACUCGCAAAGCCCGUGCCUACAAGUGGGAGUAUGAUGUCCAAGAUGACGGUACUCGGUACAAGGAGUACCCCCUGCCU